UUCUAACCAAAUUGCAAAUUUCGACAAGUUAGAAUGCCGUUUCCUGACCAUCAGAUUUCUGUCAAAUCUUCCCCCAAAGUCCAGGAAAUGGCGUUUCAGAGACUCUAAAUUCACAAAUAUUCCGGGGGGGCAUGCCCCCGGACCCCCCUAGACAAACCUCGCACCUGCGGCACUCGGCCCUCGUUUAUCAAGUGUAACAUUAUAGGGGCGCAUAUUGGCUGACAGCCCACUGGCCCCUCCAGAAAAAUAGUACCCAGCACGCCACUGAUUUCCCCGACUUAAAAAGGGGGAUAAAACUACCCAAAUCGCCAUUACAAUGGUCAACUGCCAACGACUUUUUCAAGUUAACUUUUUUGAAUCACCCAAUCACACCGGAUGAUCUAAAUAACAACAUCAAUACCAUGGUAACCG